GACGAACGCUGGCGGCGUGCCUAAUACAUGCAAGUGGGACGCAAGGGAACACACUGUGCUUGCACACCGUGUUUUCUUGAGUCGCGAACGGGUGAGUAACGCGUAGGUAACCUGCCUAUUAGCGGGGGAUAACUAUUGGAAACGAUAGCUAAUACCGCAUAAUAUUAAUUAUUGCAUGAUAAUUGAUUGAAAGAUGCAAGCGCAUCACUAGUAGAUGGACCUGCGUUGUAUUAGCUAGUUGGUAAGGUAAGAGCUUACCAAGGCGACGAUACAUAGCCGACCUGAGAGGGUGAUCGGCCACACUGGGACUGAGACACGGCCCAGACUCCUACGGGAGGCAGCAGUAGGGAAUCUUCGGCAAUGGACGAAAGUCUGACCGAGCAACGCCGCGUGAG
rnacentral:rRNA from 1 species